rnacentral:tRNA from 1 species
GGCGACGUGGCCGAGUGGCUAGGCGCGGGUCUGCAAAACCCGUCACACCGGUUCGAUUCCGGUCGUCGCCUCGA